UUUUAAAUGAAGUUUACAAAUUAUACAAAAAAUAGAUAUUCACAUUAUUUUUUUAUUUCAUUUCCAUUUGGCUGCUGCUGGUCAGAAAGCCGUCUCGCUGGUAGUUUCCAUAAAUUCUGCUUCCAUUCAUUUUUCUUGAUCUCGUUAGCAUGCAUUUUGAUUAACGAGUUCCCCUUAUUUAGUCGUUGAGACAGGACGUGAUGUAUUUGGCCUGCGACAAUUAAGCUUUUUAACGAGAAAUAAGUUAAUUAACAACCUCAUCGACUCAAUUUCAAAGCAUUAACAGAUUCAUUUAAUUAACACUAAAGCAUUGCUACUAAAGCUCUCGUUACUAUACCACGAUUUCAAUGCAAUAACACUGGUUUUUGAAUAUCCUGCCUGGUUUUUGGAAUAUCUCUUUUACUGAAUCAUCUACCGCUGUGCAUACUGGGAGAGUUACAAAGGAUGUUUCCCAGGGAUGACCAAAAAAAGUCUCAGUGUAACCCCAGCAAUGGACCUACUAGAAUACUGUGAACUGGAAUGGAAAGGAAUGACACCUCAUGCUGAUCAAAUAAGGAAGGCCUAUGGAGAAAUCUACAGGGUACAUAAUAUCAGGUACAUUUCGUGGAGAC